AGCUGCAGAAAUCCAAGGAGAAGUCCCUGCUCUCCGGGAAUGUCGCGGACGCGGCCGCCGCCUGCAACCGCCUCGGGGAGCUCUUGGCCGCCCAGGGGCGCUACGAGGAGGCUCUGGAGGAGCACAGGGAGGAGCUGAGGCUGCUGGAGGGGGCCGGCGAUCCCUUGGGAUGCGCCGUGGCCCACCGGAAAAUCGGGGAGCGCCUGGCGGAGCUGGAGAGAUACGAGGCUGCCCUCAAGCACCAGCGGCAGCACCUGGCCCUGGCCCAGGAUCUGGGGGAUCACACGGAGCAGCAGCGCGCCUGGGCCACCAUCGGCCGCACCUUCAUGUUCAUGGCUGAGAGUGGGGGG